rnacentral:ncRNA from 2 species
AUAAAUUGCUAGGGGUGCCUUAUGGCUGAGAAAUGAACAAUUCAUUGACCCUUAUACCUGAACUGGAUAAUGCCAGCGUAGGAAAGCGUCUAUAUUAAAAU